AAGGCACCUCACUAGUAAUGAGGAGAUCAUAGGUUCGAAUCCUGUUGAGAGCA
rfam:Candida maltosa Xu316 contig2824_scaffold64, whole genome shotgun sequence.